rnacentral:rRNA from 1 species
CCUACGGGCGGCAGCAGUGAGGAAUAUUGGUCAAUGGCCGGAAGGCUGAACCAGCCAAGCCGCGUGAAGGACGAAGGUGCCAAGCAUUGUACACUUCUUUUGUCAAGGGACAAAAUCAGGCUCGAGAGCCUGACCGAGGGUACUUGAAGAAAAAGCAUCGGCUAACUCCGUGCCAGCAGCCGCGGUAAUACGGAGGAUGCGAGCGUUAUCCGGAUUUAUUGGGUUUAAAGGGUGCGUAGGCGGACUGUUAAGUCAGCGGUAAAAGUCCGGGGCUCAACCCCGGCGAGCCGUUGAAAAUGGCUGUCUUGAGAUGUCGAGAGGUAUGCGGAAUGCGCAGUGUAGCGGUGAAAUGCUUAGAUAUUGCGCAGAACUCCGAUUGCGAAGGCAGCAUACCGGCGGCGAUCUGACGCUGAGGCACGAAAGCGUGGGUAUCGAACAGGAUUAGAUACCCCAGUAGUC